GGGGUUGUGGCUCAGUGGAAGAGCACUUGCCUAGUGUGUGGGAGGCCCUGGGUUCGAUCCUCAGCACCA
rnacentral:tRNA from 1 species